rnacentral:rRNA from 1 species
AUUGAACGCUGGCGGCAUGCUUUACACAUGCAAGUCGAACGGUAACAGGCCUUCGGGUGCUGACGAGUGGCGAACGGGUGAGUAAUGCAUCGGAACGUACCCAGAGGUGGGGGAUAACGCAGCGAAAGCUGUGCUAAUACCGCAUGUGAUCUGAGGAUGAAAGCGGGGGACCGAGCAGCAAUGUUUGGCCUCGCGCCUUUGGAGCGGCCGAUGUCGGAUUAGGUAGUUGGUGGGGUAAAGGCCUACCAAGGCGACGAUCCGUAGCUGGUCUGAGAGGACGACCAGCCACACUGGGACUGAGACACGGCCCAGACUCCUACGGGAGGCAGCAGUGGGGAAUUUUGGACAAUGGGCGCAAGCCUGAUCCAGCAAUGCCGCGUGCGGGAAGAAGGCCUUCGGGUUGUAAACCGCUUUUGGCAGGAACGAAACGGUGUCCGCUAAUACCGGGCGCUAAUGACGGUACCUGCAGAAUAAGCACCGGCUAACUACGU